rnacentral:rRNA from 1 species
CUGGAGGUAUCAGAAGUGCGAAUGCUGACAUAAGUAACGAUAAAGCGGGUGAAAAGCCCGCUCGCCGGAAGACCAAGGGUUCCUGUCCAACGUUAAUCGGGGCAGGGUGAGUCGACCCCUAAGGCGAGGCCGAAAGGCGUAGUCGAUGGGAAACGGGUUAAUAUUCCCGUACUUGGUGUUACUGCGAAGGGGGGACGGAGAAGGCUAUGUUGGCCGGGCGACGGUUGUCCCGGUUUAAGCGUGUAGGUGUGUGUUCCAGGUAAAUCCGGUUCACUUUAACACUGAGGCGUGAUGACGAGGCACUACGGUGCUGAAGCAACAAAUGCCCUGCUUCCAGGAAAAGCCUC